UACAGAGGCCCCGAGCGUUAGGCGGAAUCACUGGGCUUAAAGCGUGUGUAGGCGGACCCCUAAGUGUCUUGUGAAAUCCCACGGCUCACCCGUGGAACCGCUGGGCAUACUGGGGGUCUUGGGCCGUUCAGGGGCGACUGGAACAAGCGGUGGAGCGGUGAAAUGCGUAGAUAUCGCUUGGAACGCCGAAGGUGAAAACAGGUCGCUGGGGACGCGCCGACGCUGAGACACGAAAGCCAGGGGAGCAAACGGG
rnacentral:rRNA from 1 species